rnacentral:rRNA from 1 species
GAUGAACGCUGGCGGCGUGCCUAAUACAUGCAAGUCGAGCGAACAGACGAGGAGCUUGCUCCUCUGACGUUAGCGGCGGACGGGUGUGUAACACGUGGAUCACCUACCUAUAAGACUGGGAUAACUUCGGGAAACCGGAGCUAAUACCGGAUAAUAUAUUGAACCGCAUGGUUCAAUAGUGAAAGACGGUUUUGCUGUCACUUAUAGAUGGAUCCGCGCCGCAUUAGCUAGUUGGUAAGGUAACGGCUUACCAAGGCAACGAUGCGUAGCCGACCUGAGAGGGUGAUCGGCCACACGGGAACUGAGACACGGUCCAGACUACUACGGGAGGCAGCAGUAGGGAAUGUUCCGCAAUGGGCGAAAGCCUGACGGAGCAACGCCGCGUGAGUGAUGAAGGUCUUCGGAUCGUAAAACUCUGUUAUUAGGGAAGAACAAAUGUGUAAGUAACUAUGCACGUCUUGACGGUACCUAAUCAGAAAGCCACGGCUAACUACGUG